AAAAUGAACAAAAAAAUGAACAAAAAAUUGGACAUUCAAAAGAACAAACAAAUGAAUUAGAAAAAAUUUAUAAGUAAAAGAAAAACUUUUCAAUUAUGUCUAUAUCAAAAUUCUCUAACAAACAAUUUUUUUUUUUUUUUUUUUACUUAUAGAAAAUAUAUUCAUUUCUUUAGAUAAAAAUAAUAUCAGUGAUUUUAUUAAAAUAAAAGAGAAUAAAACUUUACUAAAUCUAAAAUGUAGAUCUUCAAAAGUGUUUAGUACAAUGAAGGAUUAUGUUAUGUACAAUGUACAUGUUUCAAUGGAUUUGGUAGAUAAGUUUUGGCCUGAUAAUGUGAAUUCUUAUGAUGUUGAGUCGAUUAAAAUGUUAAUAGAAAAGACAUGGAAUCAAGAAAAUAAAGAUUUUAUAUAUACAACAAAAAAAUUAAUAGAGACGCGUGAACGUAAUAAGGCGUUUAUUUUACAAAUAGGACUUAAUAGUAUUUCAUCCAUACUUCUAAAUGAACCUAAGAAUGCUAUAAUUAUAGAGCCUGAUAUGGAAAAAUGUUUGGAUUUUUUUCUUUAUAGAAACAACCGUUGUUUAUUAUUUACUCCAGGUGUUAAAAUUUAUUGUGGUAAUAAAAUUAUAAAAAAAAAAAAAAAAGAUAAGAUUGAUAAUAUUAGUAGUGAAAGUAGUGAAAGUAGUGAAAAUGAAGACAGUGAUAUAUAUGAUACAUUUGAUUUUAUAACAAAAAUAUAUCAACAUAAGGAUAAAAAAAUUAUAGAUAUUUUAAUUAUAAGUUAUAAAUAUUCAACUGCUUUGUUAUAUUAUUUGUUUCCAUAUGUUAAUCCAUCUACUUUAGUAAUUUUAAUGGAUAAUUUGAAUCAUCAAAUGAAAUCUGCAAUUUUUGAAUUUUAUAAUUUUAUGGGAGAUGCAGAUUUUUCAAAAGGUUACGAAAAUCAAUUAUUCCAAUCAUAUACCACAAAUAACAAUAAUAAUUUGAAUAAAAAAAAUAGUACAGAUAUUGAAAGUAAUAACAGUGAUAUAAAAAUUGGAGAAUAUGUAUAUGAUGAAAACUUUUAUAUUUAUAACAAAAUAAAAACAUCACCUUUUUAUAUAAUUACAUUAAGUCCUAAAAUAAAAAUAAACCCAAACGAACAAUAUUAUAAAAAAUUUAUUUCAGAUGAAUAUACUUCUGCUUAUGAAUCUGAAAUAUGUCGAUUGAUAAAAGACAUAGAAAAAAUAUUAAAAAGAAAUAUAGAUUUUUACAAAAAAUAUAAAAUUGCUGUUAAUAAUUAUUUUGCAGUUAUAAAUGAUUUUGAAUUUGAUAAUGAUAAGGAGGUCAAAAAUUAUGUUACAAAUUUAUUAUUAUCAACAUUAAACUUGUUAGAAGAAGGUGAAACAAAUCAUCAACAAUUAGAGAAAAAUGUGUACAAACUUGCUCUUAAUAAUUUAAAACAAAUAUUUGAUACUAUGUUAUUUAAUGUUUAUGAAAAAUCAAAAUUUAAAGGUCUCUUUUUAGCAUUAAUAGAUUUUUUUAAACUAUAUUUGAAUAAAAAUAACUCUAGUUAUAUUAUAUAUGAAUUUUUACUUUAUUCUCUAAUUAAAAACUCAGAAGAUAUUUCAACUUAUGAAAUAAAAGAAUUACUUUUUCUUGAUGUAUUAAGAGAUGUUUCAAAAAAAAUUAAUACAUCAUCCAUUCAUCAAGUAAUUGAAAUUGUUACAAAAUUAAAUAUACUAUUAAAAAAACUUAGAGCAAGAGAAGAUAUAACGCAUGUAAAAAAUUAUGUUAAACAAGAGUUUUCUCUCGAUUACAUGAACAAUGAAUUGUAAUUCUCAUAACAUUUUGUAACCAAAUUAGCUGACACGUGUGUGUAUAUAUAUAAAUACAUAUAUAAAUACAUAUAUAUGUACAUACUCGAAUCGGCAUGACACAAUUUUGGCGUUUAUAUUAUGGCUUUCACAUGUUGUGACAUAUAUACAUAUAUAUGUAUAUAUAGACAAGCACAACUACUUAUUAAAUUUUUAAAACAUAAAAAAUAAUUCAAUUAAAAACUACUAAAAUAUUAUAUGCUAAGUUAUAAUUUUUCUUCUUUUUUUUUUUUUAUACACAUAAAUUAUAAAAUUCAAAAGUUUAAUGAAUUGUGUGAAUAAAGGUGAAAAAAGAAAAAACA
rnacentral:lncRNA from 1 species